GGAGAGGUGGCUGAGCGGUUGAAAGCGGCAGAUUGCUAAUCUGUUAUGUCGGUUUUCUCCGGCAUCGAGGGUUCAAAUCCCUUCCUCUCCG
rnacentral:tRNA from 2 species